CAGCAACGCAGUCUUGGUGAUGAAACCUUCCCCAGCUCCAGGAUUCUGACUUCAGAGCCUACGCUGGAGUUAUACUGAAGGACUUGGAAUAAACUGAAGUUGGAAAUCACAUUAGGAUUUCAUAGAAGGUCCUAGGCUAAGUAUUGAUAACAGACAUGAAGAUAAGGAUACAGUCCCUGCACAGGACAGCCCUAGACUUGAUGGUGUGAGAAGACAAAGAAGACGUAUAUUUUCCAGGAAGGUAAGAUAAAAAGACAAGACAGAAUCCCAGGCCUACCUACCAACCAGCAGCCUCUUCUCUCGCUGAGCUGGAAUCCCAGUUUGAAGACGGGGACUUCCAAUUUCAUGUGUUUGCCAGAUUCCCUCAUCCGUGACUUGUGAACACCCGAGAGUCAAAGAAAGAGUCCUCAUGCUUUUUCUGAGACCUUCUGGACCCAGCACUCACAUGCUGACUGGCUGAUCGCUGACCUGCCCCGUGUUUUUAUGAGGAGCUUGAUAAUUGCAGAAUCGUCCUGUCCACCCUGUUGGAUCAUCACAGAGGAGCUCAGAUAGCAGCUCUGGAGCCAUUUGAUGGAGACAUACACAGCUCAUUUCCCAACUUCAACACAGUGGCUAUUUUGCUUCUCAGAGUAGCAA
ensembl:lncRNA